CUCUCUAUCCCCUCAAACCACAAAACUUUUCCCUAUUUGAUCUCCCUGGGUCAACAACGAAAUCUUGAUCGGUGUGACCAUAACUUGUUCCUCUUCUCUCCCUAUGUCUAUUCCAUGGCUUGGAUUUGUUUCUCGUAUUACUUCUAAGCCAUGGUUUGGGCCUCUAGGUGGAUGGAGCGUAGUUCUUCGGUUUGCACCAUUAGAGGGUAGAUUGUUGGUGCCAAUCACGUCUAUUUGACAUGGGAUUAGCCUUCUCGACGAGGUCAACCGGGUUUCGACAUGGUUAAUACACCAGAGGAGACAUGGUGCUAUGAUUGCGGGGCUCAAGAUCAUGUUCAUUCAGAAGCCAGAUCGAGUUGUGUCGUGACUCUACCAAAUCAAUUAUUUAUUAGAGCCUUUUGGAAUAUCGAGAACCUACCCACAUCAGGAAUAAGUUAUAUGUCAAGUCCAGCUGUUACCCACACUAGCUUGCGGAUAGAGUCAUGGGCUACACCCAAUGGGUGCACCCAGAGACCUUCAUAUUUAAUGAAGAAAUUGCACUUGGGAGAUGUCCAAGAUGUUGUGUGAAGAUACUCUCGGUGAUUGAGAAUCUACAAGAGGACCCUGGGUGCUAUUGUGGGAUACUCGGAUAAGGGGUAUAGACAUGUAUUGUACGUAUUCAUAUAGGGAAAGUGGUUCUAAGAUGUGAAAGAGGUAAAGAUAGCAACCGUACUAUAUUGGACUGUGUAUAUCACAAUGCUAAGUUUUCAAUGUCCGGGUAUCCAUAACCAAUGGGGCAUAGUUGGUUUAGAUAUGGUAGAUCUUUAGUUGUAUUUAGUUUACGCAUGUAUCUAUUGUAACACUAUCUCACGAUAUAUAAGGGUAGCUAGGGAUGUUCCUUGAGGACCACAGUCUAAUAGAUUAUGCUCUGGAUUCAUCACACACAAGUUAUAUAGUUUUAGACAAUGAAUCUACAAAUAAGAGUAAGGUAUUAUCUCACCUUUCAGAGUCUGAACCUAGGUAACCCCUUUACUUACAUACCAUUGAUCUUUUCUUCUCAACUACAACCACAUCUAUUUACUGCUGAUACACAACAUUGAUUGUAUUGUAUUUAUUUGGUUUUUAUUUGAGAUACUAUUGAAUUGGAUAUUUCAUGUUGCUUGCCUAUUAUCUCUCAUAGUGUAAUUAACCGGGUGCCCACAGCUAACCCAUUCAUUUGAUGAAAAAAACUACUUUGCAUGUGGAAGGGCAUAAUAUCCUUUAUGGUACAUGUGUUUGAUUGCGUUCACUUUGCAUGCCUAAGCUAACAAGUAAGUGAAAUAUACCUACAUCACAAAUGACAUGUCAUAUCUCUAUCCUCACCUUCCAUACAAAGAUCUCAACCUUGGUAGUAUGGAAGCAGAUUUGGUUGCUUUAAAGCACAUUUCCAUUUUGUCAUAUUUCCUUUUCCGACUUAUCCAAAAAAAAUCAAACGAACAAACCACGUAUACCUGCUUUUCUAUACUUAUCCAAUUUAAUCAAACAAAGGAGACACGUAAAUUUGGACAAAUGGCAUAUGCCCUAUUGAUUGCGUGUAACAAUCAUUUCACUUUAGCCUUGGAUGUAGUCUUCAAAUCCCUAUAAAUAGUUGAGUUUUGUUGGUCAUAGAACACACAUCAUUCCACAAUUAUUAGAAACAUACCAAAGAUGUCCCGUUGGGGCCAUAGAUUAGCUUGGGACAAGCACCAUAGAGUUCCAUCUCUAAUUCCAGAGGAU